UGGGGAAUUUUGGACAAUGGGCGAAAGCCUGACCCAGCAACGCCGCGUGAAGGAUGAAGUAUUUCGGUAUGUAAACUUCGAAAGAAUAGGAAGAAUAAAUGACGGUACUAUUUAUAAGGUCCGGCUAACUACGUGCCAGCAGCCGCGGUAAUACGUAGGGACCAAGCGUUGUUCGGAUUUACUGGGCGUAAAGGGCGCGUAGGCGGCAAUUCAAGUCAUCUGUGAAAUCUCCGGGCUUAACUCGGAACGGUCAGAUGAUACUGCUUUGCUAGAGUGCAGAAGGGGCAAUCGGGAUUCUUGGUGUAGCGGUGAAAUGCGUAGAUAUCAAGAGGAACACCUGAGGCGAAGGCGGGUUGCUGGGCUGAUACUGACGCUGAGGCGCGAAAGCUAGGGUAGCAAACGGGAUUAGAUACCCUUGUAGUCCCUGAGCGGGCUGGCAAGGCGCAU
rnacentral:rRNA from 1 species